rnacentral:rRNA from 1 species
UACGUAGGGGGCUAGCGUUGUCCGGAAUCAUUGGGCGUAAAGGGUUCGCAGGCGGAAAUGCAAGUCAGAUGUAAAAGGCAGUAGCUUAACUACUGUUAGCAGUUGAAACUGUAAAUCUUGAGUAGAGUAGAGGUAAGUGGAAUUCCUAGUGUAGCGGUGAAAUGCGUAGAUAUUAAAAAGAAUACCGGUGGCGAAGGCGACUUACUGGGCUCAUUCUGACGCUGAGGUACGAAAGCGUGGGUAGCAAACAGG